AUUGAACGCUGGCGGCAGGCCUAACACAUGCAAGUCGAACGAGUGGCGGACGGGUGAGUAAUGUCUGGGAAACUGCCCGAUGUAGGGGGAUAACUACUGGAAACGGUAGCUAAUACCGCAUACCAUCGGAUGUGCCCAGAUGGGAUUAGCUAGUAGGUGGGGUAACGGCUCACCUAGGCGACGAUCCCUAGCUGGUCUGAGAGGAUGACCAGCCACAUGGGAACUGAGAAACGGUCAAGAUUCUUACGGGAGGAAGAAGUGGGGAAUAUUGCACAAGGGGCGCAAGCCGGAUGCAGCCAUGCCGCGUGUAUGAAGAAGGCCUUCGGGUUGUAAAGUACUUUCAGCGAGGAGGCGUUACUCGCAGAAGAAGCCCCGGCUAACUCCGUGCCAGCCGCCGCGGUAAUAC
rnacentral:rRNA from 1 species